rnacentral:rRNA from 1 species
GACGAACGCUGGCGGCGUGCUUAACACAUGCAAGUCGAACGGAAAGGCCCUGCUUUUGUGGGUUGCUCGUUUGGCGAACGGGUGAGUAACACGUGAGUAACCUGCCCUUGACUUUGGGAUAACUUCAGGAAACUGGGGCUAAUACCGCAUAGGAGCUCCUGCUGCAUGGGGGGGGUUGGAAAGUUUCGGCGGUUGUGGAUGGACUCGCGGCUUAUCAGCUUGUUUGUGGGGUAGUGGCUUACCAAGGUUUUGACGGGUAGCCGGCCUGAGAGGGUGACCGGGCACAAUAGGACUGAGAUACGGCCCAGACUCCUACGGGAGGCAGCAGUCGGGAAUAUUGCACAAUGGGCGGAAGCCUGAUGCAGCAACGCCGCGUGCGGGAUGACGGCUUACGGGUUGUAAACCGCUUUCGACGGUGCCGAAGCGUGAGUGACGGUAAUGGAUAAAGAAGCACCGGCUAACUACGUG